UACGUAGGGGGCUAGCGUUGUCCGGAAUCAUUGGGCGUAAAGCGCGCGUAGGCGGCCCGGUAAGUCCGCUGUGAAAGUCAAAGGCUCAACCUUUGAAUGUCAGCGGAUACUGCCGGGCUAGAGUCCGGAAGAGGCGAGUGGAACUCCUGGUGUAGCGGUGGAAUGCGCAGAUAUCAGGAAGAACACCCGUGGCGAAGGCGGUUCUCUGGGACGGUACUGACGCUGAGACGCGAAAGCGUGGGGAGCAAACGGGG
rnacentral:rRNA from 1 species